UGAUCAGGGGGCCGGGACGUUCUGCCUGUUGCAGGGGCGGAGUGACCUACGGGUACAGGGAGUGCCUGCGCAAAAGGGCCGGAUCAGGCAGAAG
rnacentral:ncRNA from 1 species